rnacentral:rRNA from 1 species
CACGUAGGGGACGAGCGUUGUCCGGAUUCAUUGGGCGUAAAGGGCGCGUAGGCGGCUUUGCAAGUGACGGGUGAAAGCCCUCGGCUUAACCGAGGAACUGCCUGUCAGACUGUGAGGCUUGAGACCGGGAGAGGUGAGUGGAAUUCCCAGUGUAGCGGUGAAAUGCGUAGAUAUUGGGAGGAACACCAGUGGCGAAGGCGGCUCACUGGACCGGAACUGACGCUGAGGCGCGAAAGCGUGGGGAGCAAACAGG